GAUGAACGCUGGCGGCGUGCCUAAUACAUGCAAGUAGAACGCUGAAGCUUGGUGCUUGCACCGAGCGGAUGAGUUGCGAACGGGUGAGUAACGCGUAGGUAACCUGCCUCUUAGCGGGGGAUAACUAUUGGAAACGAUAGCUAAUACUGCAUAAAAGUCGAUAUCGCAUGAUAUUGAUUUGAAAGGUGCAAUUGCAUCACUAAGAGAUGGACCUGCGUUGUAUUAGCUAGUUGGUGAGGUAACGGCUCACCAAGGCGACGAUACAUAGCCGACCUGAGAGGGUGAUCGGCCACACUGGGACUGAGACACGGCCCAGACUCCUACGGGAGGCAGCAGUAGGGAAUCUUCGGCAAUGGGGGCAACCCUGACCGAGCAACGCCGCGUGAGUGAAGAAGGUUUUCGGAUCGUAAAGCUCUGUUGUAAGAGAAGAACGAGUGUGAGAGUGGAAAGUUCACACUGUGACGGUAACUUACCAGAAAGGGACGGCUAACUACGUGC
rnacentral:rRNA from 1 species